GAGGUGGGUAACUAGCACUAUCCCCAGAGGUAGGAAGGGUGCUAAACAGUGUCUCCUGGAAGCCAGUCACAGUCUGAGGGCUGAGACCACCCUGGACCCUGUGGUUCUGAGAACAUGGGUAUAAGAUCAGAGUUCUCAGCAUGCGCCUAGUCCCAACCCUAGGACAGGAUGUAAAGGCCAGUCCAUUGCCUUCUCAGCAGCCUAAACCUUUACAACCAGACAAGAGGCUUUGCUGAAAUUUGUGCUUAGGAACACGGAUUCCUUCAAUAUGGAUGCUGAAGAGCAUCUGAAAGACUGGGAAAAUGCAGUUUCACUGCCACAGGGAGCCAUCCUCAUGUACCAAGCGCUCAGAGAGCCCACAAUGGGGCAAUGAGGGUGGUGGGGAAGGGACUGGAUACAUCAUGGCUUUAUUUAAGUUAUUCUACUGAAUCCUGAGAAUAACACUAGAAGGCAGGUAUUAUUUUGCAAUGUUUUACUGAGGAAGACACACAGGCUCAGAGAGCUUUAGGGACAUACCCAAGGCCUCACUUCUAGAGAGAGAGAACCCAGGGUUCCAUCAGGUAUCACAAGGCACACACUUCAGCAGGGUCUCCCUGGUUCCUGGGAGGCCUGUUGCCUGGGGGACACUCAUGUGGCUUCCUGUCUGUUUCCAGAGUUGCCAGGAAGGUUUGCAGACAGGUCUAGCUGUGUCUCCUGGAACUUGAGAUUGUAGAUACAGAGUCUCCCCAUGGCUCCUAGUCACAUCCACAACACCAGGAGAAUGAUAAUGAAAGUUUCCUGACCCUGUUCUCCAGAGGGAUGAUUGAGCACUCACUGCCACCUUCUGCUACAACAUGUGUGUCCUCAAAUCCUCCUGCUCUUAUUCAGGUUGCCCUUCACCCUAAUCCUAGUCACUGGCUUUUUUUUUUUUCUCUUGGAAGCUGCGUAUGAACUACUGGAUUUGUUUGAGCCACCAUAAGGCAGGGAGGCUGCUUUUCUGGGAACUCCCAGGUGAAAUUCCUUGUUUUUUUGAGAAAGCCCAGAUCAUGCUGGCAGAUAGCCAAAACUCAGAGCCCUAGUUUCAAAUGCAGCCACCAGAGAUAGGCAUAACCUAUCAAGCCCAAACAACUAUUUUCCCCACUCUUAUCCUGUUUUCCUGAAGAAGCCUGCCCACUGAAACCCUUUGAUGUCUUCUAUUAUAAAUAAAGCAUUUGUUGGCUGUUUUGCUUUGUUAGGAUUACACCCAUCAGGGCUAUCCAACCCGUUAUGCCCCUGCUUUUGGACAUAUAAUUCUUGUUUUCUGUCUUUAUGUCUUUUUAACAUUUUUUAAUUAAAAAAGCAUGCCUUCAUUUAAUUUGUUCCAUUUUUAUGUGGUGCUGAAGAUUGAAGCCAGUGUCUCACUCAUGCUAAGCAAGCACUCUCCCACUGGGCUACAGUCCCAGCUCCUGUCUUUAUUUCUUAAUAUUACAUUCAUAGCUUUUAUUUCCAGCCUGCUUACACCUCUGAUGGUUACCCACUCCCUCCUCAUGCAGGAUGUGGACAGAAUUUCUUGACCAUCUUGUCUACUUUCAUCCUCCUCAUGUUCUUGUGGCUCCUUGCUAUAGAUCACUGCAAGUCACAUUUGGCCAUGGCCAUGUGUUUUUGCACAGACCUGGUUGACAUCACCCAAUCCUAAAUCAGUGUGUGUGGCUCCUGCUACUGGAUGGCUGACUCUGAGGGGUAGGUGGUGGGCACAGCGAGUGCUCUCCCAGUGGCAGGCUCCCACCCCUUAUGGAAGAAGCAAUUGCAGUUGCUUUGCCCCUCAGUGGUCAUGGAACACUGAAGUAAGGUGAUCGCAAAAGCCCUUGUCAGGAUUAUUCUCCAGUCCGUCUCGUUCAGGGCUACAGUGAAGUUGAUCUUGAGGCUGCCAUGGUUCAAUAUAGUGCUGUGGGCCCCUACCAGAAUAUGCACUUCCAGAAACAGGCCAGUCUUUCUUUGGCAAGGUUUGGAAGAUAGGAGCUAUACUUAAAUUUCACUUACUAUGAAGCAUAUGGAAAAACAACAACUCCCAAGGAGAAAGGGAGUAUAAUUGGCUCUGAAUUUGUUGCAAUUUUCCUUAUCUACAACCAGCCCCCUGGCUGCCCAAGGUCUCUCUCCAACCAUAAUCAACACUAUUCUGCUAGGACUCAGCCCCUCUACACUAUAAAACUCAAACCAUUAUUUUAGUCAGUUGCCAUUUUCGCUUAUGAAAAUUUGCCCCUUUACUGCUUAAUAAUGCAUUGCUGAUUCAUUGAGAUCUGCCUAAUAUUUAGUUCUAUAUUCUUUUUCAUUUGGUGCCAAAACCCGGGAUGGGGUUUCGGUGCUCCUUACUCCUCCCUGUCCUACUGAACCUCUACUGUAUUUUCAUAUUUCCCUCCCAUUUCUUUCUCUUUCUCUUUCCAUGUAUUACUCAAAUACCUCCAGAUCAGAGGCAGCUUUUUGCCAUUUUUCUUCUGCACGCAACAGUGACCAUCUUCUUUAGAGAGGUAAGAUCACUUCCAGUCUCCAGAGAGGUGCCUUGCCCAAGACCCUCCACCUUUUGGCUCAUCGGGACCUCAGGGUCCCCCCACCAUUAAGGUUGUAUAAGGGGAUGCCUCCUCAUUCUCUGGUGAAAGUCUUUCCAGUGACAGGAGACAUUAAAGGACACUUUGAUCUUGACCCGCCACCCCAGUCCAUCCUUUACAACAGGGGAGCUACCCAGUCUAUUCCAGGGGACUCCCCCUUAGGUUGUCUUACAAAUAAUUUUAAGACCCUCCACUUCCAAACUCACCUCAAACUAACACCUCAUUAGGCUUAGUACACAGAUCUGGCUACAGUCUAAAUUAGACAAGUUAAGUUAAUGGCCUGAAUUUGGAAUUUGGGAUCAAAAAUCCUCCAAGGGAGAUGGGUAUGUGGCUCUGUAGUAGAAACAGUUAUCUGGCAUGUGUGAGGCCCUGGGUUUGAUUAUCAGCACUGCAUAUAAACAAAUAAAAUAAAGUUCCAUCAACUUUUAAAAAAAUAUUUAAAAAAAAAAUCUUCCAAGACUUAGACAAUUUAUUCCAAUGAAAUGGCAAAUGGCCUGAGGUUCCUUACCUCCGAGCUUUCUUUUAUCUUCACUCAAGGACCUCAUUAUGUGCUGGGAGCCAUUUGCCAAGUAGGUAUGACAAUUUCCUUGCCAGCGUACCCCAUGUUGCUUAGUGGAAGGACUCGUGGAAAUAGGACAUUUUGCAGUGACAU
rnacentral:lncRNA from 1 species